CAGUAGUCACGAGUUUGAUCAGUGGCUCAAGAACGAACGCUGGCGGCAUGCCUAACACAUGCAAGUCGAACGAGACCUUCGGGUCUAGUGGCGCACGGGUGCGUAACGCGUGGGAACCUGCCUUUAGGUUCGGAAUAACUCAGAGAAAUUUGAGCUAAUACCGGAUAAUGUCUUCGGACCAAAGAUUUAUCGCCUUUAGAUGGGCCCGCGUUGGAUUAGCUAGUUGGUGGGGUAAAGGGCCUACCAAGGCGACGAUCCAUAGCUGGUCUGAGAGGAUGAUCAGCCACACUGGGACUGAGACACGGCCCAGACUCCUACGGGAGGCAGCAGUGGGGAAUAUUGGGACAAUGGGCGAAAGCCUGAUCCAGCAAUGCCGCGUGAGUGAUGAAGGCCUUAGGGUUGUAAAGCUCUUUUACCCGAGAUGAUAAUGACAGUAUCGGGAGAAUAAGCUCCGGCUAACUCCGUG
rnacentral:rRNA from 1 species